GACCUCGGAUCAGGUAGGGAUACCCGCUGAACUUAAGCAUAUCAAUAAGCGGAGGAAAAGAAACCAACAGGGAUUGCCUCAGUAACGGCGAGUGAAGCGGCAACAGCUCAAAUUUGAAAUCUGGCCCUUGGGUCCGAGUUGUAAUUUGCAGAGGAUGUUUCGGGCGUGGUCCGGUCCAAGUUCCUUGGAAUAGGACGUCAUAGAGGGUGAGAAUCCCGUAUGCGACUGGGUGCCUAAGCUCAUGUGAAACUCCUUCGACGAGUCGAGUUGUUUGGGAAUGCAGCUCUAAAUGGGUGGUAAAUUUCAUCUAAAGCUAAAUAUUGGCCAGAGACCGAUAGCGCACAAGUAGAGUGAUCGAAAGAUGAAAAGCACUUUGGAAAGAGAGUUAAAUAGCACGUGAAAUUGUUGAAAGGGAAGCGCUUGCAAUCAG
rnacentral:rRNA from 1 species